ensembl:lncRNA
AAUCCACUCGGACUCACCCCGCAGCUAAAACAUGAGCGCAGCAGCCCCCACUGGGCACCAGACGGGGGAUAGGUGGGCGGGGCCUAGGGGGUCCCGGCACCGCCCCCUCCCUCAUUUGCAUGGCGUCACAACUCCCUCGGCCACUCGCCGGACGGGAACUCCAGGAUGCGGGAGGGGAGGGACACGCCCCCUCAUUUGCAUCUCCCCGCCCCUCUUUCCGCCAGCAGGGAAGCCCGGAGAAAGUUGCGGCUCGAGGCGAAAGAGAGAGCCGCGAGGGAAGGAAGGAAGCGAGGAAAGAGAGGAGGAAAGGCGCGGGAAGUGCCCGGUGCUGGCCUGAGAGGGAACUCCAGCUGCGUCCUUGCAAUCAGGGCAGCGGGGGAGGGCUCUGCACAUGCCAGGAGAUGGAGCUACAAUCAGAUAAAUGCUGCACUUGGAUCAAUGCAUUAGCUUGUUGGCAGCUUUUCCUCUCCAGGACUGUUCAAGUAGCCAAAGGAAUAGUUGCUUGCCUUAAUUGCAUUAGCUAGCCUGCUGCUGACUGUGCACUGAACCUCACCACCAGAUUUGUUGUUGUUGUUGUUGUUGUUGUUGUUGUUGUCAUUACUAUUAUCAUUAACACCACCAUCAAUAUACAUCUGGAAAUAAUUCUGCAUCUAAACUAGACAAUGGGAACAUUUAACACCCAAAUUGCAUACAUAAACACACAUACAAGCAGACCAAGACAACGUGUGCAUAAAGUUACAUUUCUAUCCUGUCCCACACCUUUAAUGAGUUCAAUAUGAUAUGGAUUACUUUAAUUUUUACUAGACAACAAUCCUGUUAGAUACUGUGAGGAAGUCAGAAGUCUAAAGACACAAAGGGCCCUAUCAGAGUAUUCUGUUAUAGUGCUAUUAUUUCAGUUUAAUUACCAAGACAGCAUUCUGUGGAAUACUGGGGCUUAUAGUUCAGUGAGGCACAAGAGUUCUCUAGCUGAGAAAUCUAAAUGCCCUUCCCAAAACCACAAAUCCCAUUAUUUUUUCUAUACUAUAGAUGGACAGAUGGAUAGUUGAAUAACAUCACUAUAACAGAGUAGUGCACUAGGGUAGUGGUUCUCAACCUGUGGGUCCCCAGAUGCUUUGGUCUUCAACUCCCAGAAAUCCUAACAGUUAGUAAAUUGGCUAGGAUUUCUGGGAGUUGUAGGCCAAAACAGCUGGGGACCCACAGGCUGAGAACCACUGCACUAGGGGAUUGAGUAUCACAGUUCAGUGAGGACUUGAUUUUAAUAGAUCUCUAAAGUUCUAGUCUAUCACUCUGGUUACUAGGGACCCUUCCAGACAGGCCCUAUAUCCAGGAUCUGAUCCCUGGUUUUCUGCUUUAAACUGGAUUAUAUGAGUCCGCACUGCCAGAUAAUCUGGGAUAAACAGAAAACCUGGGAUCAGAUCCUGGGAUAUAGGACUUGUCUGGAAGGGCCCUAGAUCAACCUGCUUUCUUUUUUUAAUCUCUAUUUACUUUGCUCGGCUUUUUCUAAUUACUAGUACUUGCACUCAUAAUACUGUACUAUUCAGUACAUAAUAUGAUAUGCACAAUCUUGUCAAUAUUAAUCACUUUUUAAGUCUCAUUUUGAGUUGACCAAACAGCAGAGAGUAUGAAUUUGCAAUUCUAAAAAAGAGAUAAUGUGGAGUGGGGUUGGGGGAGAGGGAAUAGGGAAAUGCUGAGCUUCAUCUGUUAUAUAACUACCAAUCCAUUCCAAAUAUAAUAUUUUAAAGUGUUUAACUUGAAUAUUGCUGUUGUUGUUUUCCAUAUGGACAAAGGCAGCUACUAAUACCAUAUAAAACACAACGAUGUGUCAGAAUAAUUAAAAGUGUAAAAACCAUCACCUACAUGUAUGGACUUUGAAAGGUCAGGAUACAUUAUCAUUCACAAGUUUGUGAAAAGAAGUAUCUAACAUUGGGCUUUGUUUUUAAAGACUUUUUCAUCUUUUCAAUAAAAACCUACGUUGUCACAAAUCUCAAGAUCAUAUUUAGAAUGAUAGAACUGAAAUUAAUUUAAAUUCCUCUCGUUAGAUUUCCAGGCCACCGUCUGCUUCCCACCACCCCAACAUUUUUUAGAAUACACAGAUUACAUUUCAUAGAUGUAUUGAUAAAUGCUAUUUUAAUCCAUGAAAGCCAAGAUAAGCUGGACUGAAAUUUAUUCUACAGGCAUAUGCUCUUACAAAAAGAAUGUAAAAGGAAAGAGUAUAACCCUCACUGGGCCUCCUCAAGUGCAAGGCUGGUUGAAUUCAGUGGCUGCUAAGGAAAUAUUUAUAGCAACAUUAAACAGAACAUAUAAUAAAAUCAAAUAGAAUAAUACAGAUCACCAAAUGCAUAAGCACAGCAGAAAGAUACCCUGCAAAGCAAACAUUUCUCAAUGAAGCAAUUAAGACAAAAGAGCUACCCAUUGUAAGGUAAUGAUAAAUUUAUUUAAUUGGUUUGUACAACACCUUUUACCUAAAUCUCAGAUCAAAGUAAACUUAUAACACAAUUAAAAGCCAGGUAUAAAGCAAGUGUCAAUACAAAAUAGUUAAGUUUAUAAAUAUUAAAAUAAAAUUAAUCUAGUUACAAUCGUCGUCGUCUCACUCGUUCAGUCGUUUUUGACUCUUUGUGACCUCAUGGACCAGUCCACGACAGAGCUCCCUGUUACAAUACUUACAUGCAAAUUAAGUUACAAUAGUUAAAAUGUAUGUAGUUUAGACAUAAGCAUAUUUGCAUUGAAAUUACUGUCUCUUGCUAUCCUGAGGUUGAAUCAUCUUUUGGAUUUGGUUACCCUGCCUAUCAAAUGAAUGUGACAUUCAAUGUGUGAUUAUUUACAAUAGUUGCGAAAGCUAGGAAUGGAUGGGUACCCUGCUUGAGAGUGCUUUAAAGCUAAAUGGGUAACCUUUUUUUAAUGCUGAAGGCCAGAUUAUCUCAGAGGAAACAUUCCUUCAGAUGUUAGAGUCCAGAGCUGAAGCUGGAGGUGAAAUAUUAGAAGCCACUUUUUCCUUUCUUUCACAUAUCCUAUACUGUUUAUGGAUGUGGUGGCCAUCUACUUAUGGCAGAUGCUGACCCAUAGUCCCCAUCAUUCCUUGUCAUGGACCUUGCUGACUUCUAUUUAUGGAAGUUGAAGUCCAAAAACAUCUGGAAGACUGUUAGUUUCCCACCCUCAUAUAGUUAUCAAUAGCUCCUCCAUAGGGUAUGGGCAUCAGCCAAUGGCACCACAUCUGAAUCACAAAAGAUAAAAUCAACAGCUAACUUACUUACAUGACUGUUGAAAGGACAUUGUAAGUCUUUUAUCUAAACUGGGAGGAGGGUGAGAGAAUGCAUAAUGUGCCCAUGAACAUAUUAUAAUACCAUAUCAGAAGGAGAAGUUAUCUUUAAUUGAGAUUUUAAAGUAAACAACAGCUAGACAAAAAAUUGUUCAUGGAUGUGGAAUGUGUGGUUUUUGAGAUGUUGUUGGGUUGAAACUCUCCUCACUGGUCAUCAUUACCUAUGGCUAGGGAUAUUGGGAGAUGCAGCUCAGGAACAUCUGGAAGUCCCACCUCUCAUUUAGAUUGUCAAUAUAUAUUCAAAUAAGGGAGAGAAUUCUGACCAUCUACAUAGAUCUAGAAUAAAGGAAUCUUCACACAGAAAUAAACUGAUUCACAAAUUAAAGCCAAAGUUCUAUAGUAAAUCAACUGCCUAUUCAUAUCUUAACCAAUAAUGGCCAGGUUGAAUUGAAUUUUUUUUCCUUCAUGGGAGAUGCGAUCUUAUUCCUUGGAAAUAAGCUCCACACAAAUAUGAUGACACAUAUUAAAUAAAGACAUAUAAGAUUAGGCUGCCUAGUUAACUUGCUCUAUCUCAUGUUUGUUUUAGGAUGAUAGCAACUGAAACAGUUUAUAGCAACACUGGGUGUGACAUAAGCCCAGCUGGUUGUUUUCAGCAAUGAUAAUGAAGUCACCAGGGUGACCGCACAAUCAAGGGAGGGAGGGAGAGGAGGAGGAUUCCUGACCAGCAUCACUUUAGCUCUCGGAGAAUGGGAGGGGUUAGUAAGGGUGGCCAUCCAGUAGUGCUGAACAUGGUUCAGUGCCAUUAGAGGGGGUUAGUGCCUAAAGCAGCUAGGCAAUGCCGGUCUCAUCUAUCCCAGGGUCAGUACAGAAUAUGCCAUGUUGGACAAGCCCCAGGAUAAUGUGUCAUAGAUUAUCAUGAGAGAAAGAAGAAAUCAGUGUCUCUCUCUCUCUCUCUCCCAGUGCAGACAGGGGCGGCUGAAGCUAUAAGCUAGGUAAGCAACUGCGGGUGGUGCAACAUCUGCUGGGGCGCCGUUGAGGUGCCGGGGCCUUGAAAAUUUACCUAGGGCUGGCCCUGAUGAGAAGCCACUGGAGAAGAGAAGGUGGGCAAGUGGAGGCAGAAAGGAGGCUGUGGCUCCCCCUUUUCCUCCUUCCCUUCCUCUGCUAUAGCAUCUCCUUCUGGAAAGGACCCCAAGGAUGAGAGAGGAAGGAAGGCUCCCCUACCUGAAAUUGGGGGGCAAGGUGAGGUUCAAGCCCAGGAAUGGGGAGGAUCUGGUCAGAGACAUGGCUCCAUUCUCUCUAUCCACCUGCAAAUGAUUCUCCCUCUCCAUACAGGCGGGUAGGGGAGGAGGAGGAGGAGGAGGAGGAAAGAGGCUGCUGAUGCUGGUAGGAAAGCAGAGAGGCAGGUGAAGGCAGGGCUGAACUGGUGCCCGGAGAAGGCACGGUUUCAGCAGCUGGGAAGGUACGAAGAGAGCAGGGAGUGGAUGAGGAGGGGGUGGUUGGUGGUAAGGUCAGAGAGGGAGAAAGCAGGGGUCCUCCUCUUUCUCUUCCUCUCCUCUUCUCUCCUGGCUGGCUCCCUGGGGAGCUGCAGCAGAAGCAGGUGAAGCGAGGUGGCCGGGAAAAGGAGGGGCAGACAGCACCAGCAAAGAUGGCAGAGAGGGAGGAGGAGCCCCCCCAGAAAGGCCUGGAGGGAAGCAGGUGGGAGGCAGGGAGGGAGGCCAGAAGGAAGGGAUGGAAGAAAAGGGGGGAGAAAGAAAGAACCUAGGAAGGAAGGCGAGAGGGAGGGAGGGAGGGAAAGAAGGAAGGGAGCAAGGAAAAAGAAAGAAAGGGCAGCCCUUCUUUGUGAAAAGCUAGCUAGGAAGGCUAUUAGGGAAGGAAGGGCUUGACUCUUGACUGUGAUGAUGGGGACCACCUCCCGAAAGCUUUUACUCUUGACUGUGAUGAUGAUUAUGG